UACGUAGGGGGCAAGCGUUGUCCGGAUUUAUUGGGCGUAAAGAGCGUGUAGGCGGUUUGGUAGGUCCGUUGUGAAAACUCGAGGCUCAACCUCGAGACGCCGGCGGAAACCAUCAGGCUAGAGUCCGGAAGAGGAGAGUGGAAUUCCUGGUGUAGCGGUGAAAUGCGCAGAUAUCAGGAGGAACACCGAUGGCGAAGGCAGCUCGCUGGGACGUGACUGACGCUGAGACGCGAAAGCGUGGGGAGCAAACAGG
rnacentral:rRNA from 1 species